rnacentral:rRNA from 1 species
AACGUAGGAGACAAACGUUAUCCGGAGUUACUGGGCGUAAAGGGCGUGUAGGCGGUUUGUUAAGUCUGGCGUGAAAGCUCUCGGCUAAACCGGGAGAGGUCGUUGGAUACUGGCAAACUAGAGGAUGGUAGAGGCGUGUGGAAUUCCGGGUGUAGUGGUGAAAUGCGUAGAGAUCCGGAGGAACACCAGUGGCGAAGGCGUCCAUCUGGCCCGUUACUGACGCUGAUGCGCGAAAGCUAGGGGAGCAAACGGG